UAAUACGAAUGGAGCGAGCGUUGUUCGGAAUCACUGGGCGUAAAGCGUGCGCAGGCGGUUGUGAAAGUCAGGAGUGAAAUCCCAGGGCUUAACCCUGGAAUUGCUUUUGAAACUUCACGACUAGAGUACUGGAGGGGUUGGCGGAAUUUCGAGUGUAGCAGUGAAAUGCGUAGAUAUUCGAAGGAACACCGAUGGCGUAGGCAGCCAACUGGACAGUUACUGACGCUCAUGCACGAAAGCGUGGGGAUCAAACAGGAUUAGAUACCCUGGUAGUCCACGCCGUAAACGAUGUGUGCUAGUUGUCGGGAUCUUAGAUCUCGGUGACGCAGCUAACGCUUUAAGCACACCGCCUGGGGAGUACGGUCGCAAGAUUA
rnacentral:rRNA from 1 species